CGCGUAGGCGGGCCUUCAAGUCGGAUGUGAAAACUAUCGGCUCAACUGAUAGCCUGCAUCCGAUACUGUUGGUCUUGAGUACGGAAGAGGAGAGCGAAAUUCCAGGUGUAGCGGUGAAAUGCGUAGAUAUCUGGAAGAACACCAGUAGCGAAGGCGGCUCUCUGGUCCGAUACUGACGCUCAAGCGCGAAGGCUAGGGGAGCAAACA
rnacentral:rRNA from 1 species